rnacentral:rRNA from 1 species
GGCUCAAUUCGAAGCAACGCGAAGAACCUUAUCCUGGGCUUACAUGUAUGGAUUAGGUCGUGGAAACACGGCUGAGGCUCUUUGAGUACAACAUACACAGGUGCUGCAUGGCUGUCGUCAGCUCGUGCUGUGAAGUGUCGGGUUAAGUCCCUUAACGAGCGAAACCCCUAUCUCUAGUUGCCAACGCGUCAUGGCGGGGACUCUAGCGAGACUGCCGGUGUCAAACCGGA